rnacentral:rRNA from 1 species
AUGCGGCAAAAGCACAUUAUAACCCGGGGGAAGCGCCCUACUGACAUUGAUAGCAAUGAGGAGUUGCCAGAGGAAGACGACAACACAAUUGAACUUUCUGAGCACGAUCAUUCAAAGCCAAAGAGAGCAAGACAGAUGAAAACGAGGGCGGAGGAAGGAAGAACUCACCUCUUCAGGGCCCAGUGCCUUCGCUGUAGAGGAGGUGCACGGAACUUUGGGGUGGGGGCGGAGCGUGACGAUGCUGCUGCCGCUAGUUUUAGGUUUUCAGAAACCUUCAAGAUGCAGAUCCAUGGAGGUCUUUUGCAGCAGAUUACCAGUUGGAGAAAAGGGAAGUGCAUGAAGGAGGGGAAAGGCAGGCUAGACACGGUUCUUGUGUGA